GAUCAUUAGAGAGCGGCACUCGUGCCGGAUCCUCUCCCACCCUUGUGUAUCUAUCUCUGUUGCCUUGGCGGGACCUCCUCCGGGGGCCGAACGCGCGGGGGAUAACGCUCGCGGCCCGUCAAAGGUCUUACAUGAAACACUGCCGUCGUGUCUAUCCGAGUCGUGGUUAUAAAAAGCAAAACUUUCAACAACGGAUCUCUUGGUUCUGGCGUCGAUGAAGAACGCAGCGAAAUGCGAUAAGUAGUGUGAAUUGCAGAAUUCAGCGAACGAUCGAAUCUUUGAACGCACAUUGCGCCCUCUGGUAUUCCGGGGGGCACGCCUAUUCGAGCGUCAUUUACACCCUCAAGCCUGGCUUGGUAUUGGGCCCCCGCCCCUCGGGCGGGGCCUGGAACGCCUGCGGUGGGCGCCGGUUCCCUCUCUCGCACCAGAAGAACCAUCUUCACGCGGGAGGGGGCUCUAGUCGCUGUCCGGAAAGCACCAACCUUUUGACCUCGGAUUAGGCGGGAAGACCCGCUGAACUUAAGCAUAUCAAUAAGCGGAGGAAAAGAAACCAACAGGGAUUGCCCCAGUAACGGCGAGUGAAGCGGCAAUAGCUCAAAUUUGAAAUCCGGCCCCCGGGUCUGAGUUGUAAUUUGAAGAGGAUGCCUCGGUGCGGGCCCCGAUCGAAGUUCCUUGGAACAGGACGUCAUAGAGGGUGAGAAUCCCGUCUGUGGUCGGUGGCCCCUAUCGUGUGAGGCUCCUUCGACGAGUCGAGUUGUUUGGGAAUGCAGCUCUAAAUGGGAGGUAAAUUUCUUCCAAGGCUAAAUAUCAGCCAGAGACCGAUAGCGCACAAGUAGAGUGAUCGAAAGGUGAAAAGCACUUUGAAAAGAGGGUUAAAAAGCACGUGAAAUUGUUGAAAGGGAAGCGCUUGCCACCAGAGUUGUCCGGGGGGUUCAGCCGACCUUCUGGCUCGGUGUACUUCCUCUCGGGCAGGCCCGCAUCAGUUCGGCCGGCCGGAUAAAGGCCGCGGGAAUGUAGCACCCUCGGGUGUGUUAUAGCCCGCGGUGCAAUACGGCCUGG
rnacentral:rRNA from 1 species